rnacentral:sRNA from 1 species
AACUCAAAAAAGUGUCCUUCUGCCUAAUAUCCCCUAAUUUUUUAACCGUGAUCACGACAUCUUUUGCUUUAGCGUGUGC